CCGUGCUAAGCGGGGAGGUAGCGGUGCCCUGUACUUGCAAUCCGCUAUAGCAAGGCUGAAUUCCCAUUCGAGGUUGGAUGUCUGUAGGGUCUGCCUCAAGGGAUUGGUGUUGACGCCCAGGUCCUGCGCAACAGGAACCCAUGAACCUGUCAGAUCCGGAAGGAAGCAGCAGUAAGUGGUUAUUCUUGUGUGCCGCGGGGAAGCCUGAGCCGAGCCAUGAACUUGGGUAACGCUUAUGGAUGUCCGAUCAACAAUGGGUGCACGG
rnacentral:SRP_RNA from 1 species